rnacentral:rRNA from 1 species
CGCGCAGGCGGUUCUUUAAGUCUGAUGUGAAAGCCCACGGCUCAACCGUGGAGGGUCAUUGGAAACUGGGGAACUUGAGUGCAGGAGAGAAAAGUGGAAUUCCACGUGUAGCGGUGAAAUGCGUGGAGAUGUGGAGGAACACCAGUGGCGAAGGCGGCUUUUUGGCCUGUAACUGACGCUGAGGCGCGAAAGCGUGGGGAGCAAACA